rnacentral:rRNA from 1 species
AUUGAACGCUGGCGGAAUGCUUUACACAUGCAAGUCGAACGGCAGCACGGGGGCAACCUUGGUGGCGAGUGGCGAACGGGUGAGUAACACAUCGGAACAUGCCCAGUCGUGGGGGAUAACGUAGCGAAAGUUACGCUAAUACCGCAUACGAUCUAGGGAUGAAAGCGGGGGACCGUAAGGCCUCGCGCGAUUGGAGUGGCCGAUGCCAGAUUAGGUAGUUGGUGGGGUAAAGGCUCACCAAGCCAACGAUCUGUAGCUGGUCUGAGAGGACGACCCGCCACACUGGGACUGAGACACGGCCCAGACUCCUACGGGAGGCAGCAGUGGGGAAUUUUGGACAAUGGGCGCAAGCCUGAUCCAGCCAUUCCGCGUGCAGGACGAAGGCCUUCGGGUUGUAAACUGCUUUUGUACGGAGCGAAAAGCCUUGGGUUAAUACCUCGGGGUCAUGACGGUACCGUAAGAAUAAGCACCGGCUAACUACGUGCCAGCAGCCGCAGUAA